rnacentral:rRNA from 1 species
UGAGUAACACGUGGGCAACCUGCCUGUAAGUUGGGGAUAACUCCGGGAAACCGGGGCUAAUACCGAAUGAUAAAGUGUGGCGCAUGCCACGCUUUUGAAAGAUGGUUUCGGCUAUCGCUUACAGAUGGGCCCGCGGUGCAUUAGCUAGUUGGUAGGGUAAUGGCCUACCAAGGCAACGAUGCAUAGCCGACCUGAGAGGGUGAUCGGCCACACUGGGACUGAGACACGGCCCAGACUCCUACGGGAGGCAGCAGUAGGGAAUCUUCCGCAAUGGACGAAAGUCUGACGGAGCAACGCCGCGUGUAUGAAGAAGGUUUUCGGAUCGUAAAGUACUGUUGUUAGAGAAGAACAAGGAUAAGAGUAACUGCUUGUCCCUUGACGGUAUCUAACCAGAA